rnacentral:snoRNA from 1 species
GUUGGUUGAAAAUCACCUGCGGCUUUGGCCGUGGCCGCAGGUGAGACUCGGCGCCCAGAGCCACCGGGGUCUCAGCUCACGGCCCGCUGUGCGGGGAGGUGAAACCCAGGCCCUGACACGU